rnacentral:piRNA from 1 species
UAGCCAAUUUGGGACACACCUAUGGAUGUA